GAUGAACGCUGGCGGCGUGCCUAAUACAUGCAAGUCGAGCGAACAGACGAGGAGCUUGCUCCUCGGACGUUAGCGGCGGACGGGUGAGUAACACGUGGAUAACCUACCUAUAAUACUGGGAUAACUUCGGGAAACCGGAGCUAAUACCGGAUAAUAUAUUGAACCGCAUGGUGCAAUAGUGAAAGACGGUUUUGCUGUCACUUAUAGAUGGAUCCGCGCCGCAUUAGCUAGUUGGUAAGGUAACGGCUUACCAAGGCAACGAUGCGUAGCCGACCUGAGAGGGUGAUCGGCCACACUGGAACUGAGACACGGUCCAGACUCCUACGGGAGGCAGCAGUAGGGAAUCUUCCGCAAUGGGCGAAAGCCUGACGGAGCAACGCCGCGUGAGUGAUGAAGGUCUUCGGAUCGUAAAACUCUGUUAUUAGGGAAGAACAAAUGUGUAAGUAACUAUGCACGUCUUGACGGUACCUAAUCAGAAAGCCACGGCUAACUACGUG
rnacentral:rRNA from 1 species